rnacentral:rRNA from 1 species
GAUGAACGCUGGCGGCGUGCUUAACACAUGCAAGUCGAACGGGAAACCUUUUAUUGAAGCUUCGGCAGAUUUAGCUGGUUCCUAGUGGCGGACGGGUGAGUAACGCGUGGGUAACCUGCCUUAUACAGGGGGAUAACAACCAGAAAUGGUUGCUAAUACCGCAUAAGCGCACAGGACCGCAUGGUCCGGUGUGAAAAACUCCGGUGGUAUAAGAUGGACCCGCGUUGGAUUAGCUAGUUGGCAGGGUAACGGCCUACCAAGGCGACGAUCCAUAGCCGGCCUGAGAGGGUGAACGGCCACAUUGGGACUGAGACACGGCCCAGACUCCUACGGGAGGCAGCAGUGGGGAAUAUUGCACAAUGGGGGAAACCCUGAUGCAGCGACGCCGCGUGAAGGAAGAAGUAUCUCGGUAUGUAAACUUCUAUCAGCAGGGAAGAUAGUGACGGUACCUGACGAAGAAGCCCCGGCUAACUACGUG